ACCCGCCCGCGCCGCCCUCCUGGGGUGCCUCUCAGGGACCCAGGCGCUCAGCUGCUGGGGCCGCGGAGGGCGUUCGCGGGGCGCCGGGGAAGGCUAGGGCCGCGGGGUCCCCGGGGCGCCGUCCCCAACCGCCGACGCCUGCCAGACCACCAAGUGGGGGCCAUGUCGACGUGUGAGGAGCCUGGUGGAAGGUGAUACUGGAAUUCCGGCACUGGGCCUGCAACCCUUUUAGUCCACAGUUGUCAGAAUCUAAAGGGAAGAAAAACGAAGUGCUCAGAACCCUCACAGAAGCCGGGCACCUCAUCCCGUGUGUGGGUUUUUUCCCCAGUACAAACCCAUUGUGGGGACAGGCGCUUUUGAAGAAAAAAUUCAGAUUCCCGGGCUGAAGUGGCUCCUCACAGCCUUGAACCUGACCCCCAGCUUCCCGCUAAAGCCGAGCGUGCCCAGCACGGCGAGGUCAGCAGAGGCCCCUCGGAGGGCGGCCGGGGGAGGUCAGUGGGAGGCCCUCGGGCAGCCGGUGGAUGGGCCGGCGACCUCCCCGACUCCAUCAGAAGCGCUCAGUCUGUGCCCUUCAGUUACUGGAGCAGCUCCCGUCCUUUGGCCAGUUCUCUGGAAGGUCGUUUCCGUUUCUGUGUCUGCCACACGUGCAGCACAAUCGAAAAACCUUGUUCGACAUUUCUAGAAAGAGUAGAUGCUACUGAAGACCCAAUAGAUUGCUGAGGGUUUUCAGAGCAGGGACAAUUGCAUCAGGGUGCUGGGCUCCGGGAAGAACUCAGAGGACUUGGCUGACGGGCGGAUGGGACAGUGAUUGGUGCCGAGAAUGGGCCAGAGAAGCAGGUCUGCCUGGAGCAGGCACCCGAGGCCGCGUGCAGGGGCGGUCCUGGGCCACCAACCCCUGGAAGCUGGGCCAGGAGCUUCGGAGCCAUCCGAGGCUUUUUUCGCUCCUCUCACUCUCAUGCACCUAGUUACCCUCCCCACAGAGUCUUCUCACGGCGCGGUUUUCGGCUACCAUUGCAGUGGUGUCUGACUACACCCAGUGCCUCUAUCGUUCCCCCCUCAGUCUGUUCUCGCUUCUUGGCAAACCUGUCCUUGGAAAGCCCUCUGCUGACUCCUGUUACCCUGAUCAAAUGCAUCCUCCUCAGGAGGCUCGUGAGCCCUUUGCAGGGUGGCCCAAGAGGCAUCACGCCCUGCUCUCCAGCCACUCUUGGGGUCCCCUACAGGGCCAGGCGUCCCACACCAGCAGCGGGUGCUGGUCCUGCCACAGUCUGUGCGACACGUGAAUGAAGGCUGUAGACCUGUGGUCUGCGGGAGGCAAAUUCCAACUCCAGCUGUCAAACAUAAGGGGACUGGUAGGCUCUCCAGGGUGGAUUGUCUCACGGCAUCCAGAGGCAGGGACCGAGGCAGGGACCUAGCCAGGCCUCGGGAAGGAGCUGCAAACCCAGGAGCUCUGGGGUGUGGCUUCAUCUCCCUCCCUCCCUACCACCCUACCCCCAUCUCUCCGUGUUCUUCAGAUGCCUCAUUUUCCUGUCAGGCACCUGGCCAGCUCUAGGAGCUGGAAUCAGGUUGGUGCCUCCUUGGUCAGUGUCCACCCCUAGUGUCAUCCACAGUGACCAACGGAAGGGGUGGCCGGUGGUACAGGACAUUGGCCAUCUUGGGAAAGAUCACAGAGACAGGAAGGGCCUCUCCAGCUGAGCAGAUGAGAGGUUCUUCAGUGGUCUGGACACAUUUGCCCACUCAUGGCCGUCCCCCUGCCCUGUUGAGAGAACCGAUGAGGAAAGGGAGCCCUGCAUCUGUCGCCUUCCGACUCCGACCGCCUGAGGCUGGGCUGCCGGCAAGCCGCGGCAGCAUAUGACAGCACUUGAAAGAAAGUCCCUGGAAAGAAUGUGGAUCAUUGCAGAACUCCCUCAAGAAAGCGCCAGAGGAGGACCCCAUUCAGCACCCCGCAGAACUCCUCAAACUCCUGCGUCCACACUCCCCCAGCGUGGUGGCUGCUUCUAUCUCCCCAGGCUUAGCUGGCCUGGGUCUUGAAGGCCUCUCCUCCUGCUGUCCCCACGCAGCAUCCUCUCUGCCACUGCACAGCUGGAUGCAGUGAAGGCCAGGCGGCUGUGGCUGCUUGGGCAACAGGAGCUGCUUGACCCUGUUCUGCUGGCCUUGUUGGCCUCACUCCCGUAGAGAGCCAAGGUUACCCACGUCUCUGAAGCUAAGGCUUUCUUUCUAGGCCUGGGGGAGUCACAUCUUGCAUUCGUACUCACUGAGCUCCACGUCUAUGGUUAGAGAAUUUAUCAACAUUUUAUAAUGCUUUUAUCAAUUCCAUCAUUUGAGGGCCCUCUGGCAAGGAACCUGUUAGUACAUGGAGUGCCUGGAAUGUUCCAGAAAGCUAACAUGAACAGCUGGCCCUUGCUGUCCUUAUACAUUGAGGACUCCAAAGGCCACUCAGGAUGACAGGAAAUGCAGGCUCCAAAAGAUUCGGUUCCUUUGUGAGGCCCUCGGGCAGUGGUCAGACACGAAGGAAAUAGGAAAUCACCCCCAAACCACACCUCUCCCUAUGAGGCCACAGCUGCCGAUGCAGCCUUGGGAGGGGGAUGGAGGGAGAGAGGAGGGCAUCUGAAUGUGGACACACCCUGCUGUGAGGGCUGUGGGCGGUCCUGAGACUGGAGCCAGCCCCCAGGCUCAGCUCAGCUCGGGGACCUCGUGCCCGGGCUUUCCUGGGGAGGAAGGUGUUGGAUCUCCUGCCUCUCUGUAUUCAUUCACACUUUGGGUUUCUCUCUCUUCCGCGCAUUCUAACAUCUGCAGGAUUUUUUUUUUUUUUUUUUUUUUUUUGAGACAGAGUCUCGCUCUGUUGCCCAGGCUGGAGUGGAGUGGUGCGAUCUCAGCUCGCUGCAAGCUCCGCCUCCUGGGUUCACGCCAUUCUCGUGCCUCAGCCUCCAGAGUAACUGGGACCACAGGCGCCCGCCACGACGCCCAGCUAAUUUUUUGUAUUUUUAGUAGAGACGGGGUUUCACCGUGUUAGCCAGGAUGGUCUCGAUCUCCUGACCUUGUGAUCCGCCCGCCUCGGCCUCCCAAAGUGCUGGGAUUACAGGCGUGAGCCACCGGGCCUGGCACAUCUGCAGGAUUUAUGGAUGAAGGGCCACAAACCCACAUUUGGUCUCAUUCAACAGAUGUUGUGUCGGCAGGGCGAGGUGGGACUCUGUCUCUGCCCACGCUACCUGCCCCUGGGGUUGUAGUUCUAGGAAAGCAAGUCUCAGACUGAGUUUUGAUCUGGAUUAAAUUCUGUCCCAGGUGCAGAUAUUUAUAGGAAAGCAGGGACAAGAGCCCUCAGGCAAAGCUGGGUAUCCUGCGAUGGGUGCCUCUGGGAGUUCGCAGAUAACAAGGCCUUUUCCUGGAGGCAAAGCAGAAGCGUUCUGUGGCAGACCAGUCAGCUUUCUAGCAGGUCAGGGGCAGGGACAUCUAGGCCCAAGGUGUCACACCGUGCCUGGCUGCUGGCUCUCCUCUUGCAAGGACACAGCUCUUACAGGACUUCCUAGCCCACCCAAGAACAUCUUUCCAUCAUCGAAAAGUUAUUGAUAAGAUUUUUCCAUCACUGAAAAGUUAUUGAUAAGUGCCACCAUGUGCAUGAGCAGCCCUCCAGGUGCUGGCUUGUGGGCCGGUGUUUGAGAAUCUUGCCAGUUGAAUGUGGGCAUCUGUUGAGGGUUUCCCAAAGGCUAACCGUUCGUGCCAGAGGGAGGCCGUGGCUCAUUCCUAGGGCCCUGGGUGAGACUGGGGCUCAUGCACACACAGGUAUCGAUGGCAUGGGCUGUAACGAGCUGAGUGCCUGCUGCCCUUUCCUAGUGGGGGGGGUGGGCUCCUGGAGAAAGAGGGGAGGCUGCUACUCUCCAGGGCCACAGGGAGCCCAGAACGCCACCUCCUGGUGUCAGCAGCAGCAAAUCCAUAUAAGUCUGCAGCAACUUAGCUUUUGCCUCCUCAGAGGAAAUAAUUCAUCCAGGGGGCACAAGGCAGGGUCAGAGACUGAGGUAAGUUUCAGAGCAAGAGUGAAAGUUUAUUAAAAAAGUGUUAGAGCAGGAACGAAAGGAAAUAAAGUACACUUGGAGGAGGGCCAGGUGGGCAUCUUGAGAGAGCAAGUACACGGUUUUGACCUUUGACUUGGGGUUUAUAUCUUGGCAUGCUUCUGGGGGCUGCGUCCCUUCUCCCCUGAUUCUUCCCUUGGGGUGGGCUGUCCGCAUGCGCAGUGGCCUGCCGACACUUGGGAGGGCCGCGUGCACAGUGUGCUUACUGGAGUUGUGCGGUGCCCUCUUGAGGCAGUCUUCCCUUACCAGUUCCUAGGGGAAGGUCACACGCUGGUUAAACUUUGCCACUUUGCCUCGUAGUGUGCAUGCUUGACCUCACUCACCAACUCCUGAGAUUUUUUUUAAAUUUUUUAAUUUAAGUUCUAGGGUACAUGUACACAACGUGCAGGUUUGUUACAUAGGUAUGCAUGUGCCAUGUUGGUUUGCUGCAUCCAUUAACUCGUCAUUUACAUUAGGUAUUUCUCCUAAUGCUAUCCUUCCCACCCCACGACAGGCCCUGGUGUGUGAUGUUGCCCGCACUGUGUCCAAGUGUUCUCAUUGUUCAAUUCCCACCUGUGCCAACUCCUGGGAUCUUAUCGGGAAGUGGCUCAUCAUCAGCUUUAGGUGUUUUCUAUCUAUUGGGAGCCUGCCUUUCUCUGGCACCAGCUGCAACCAAUAAUUAUUUUAGACAGUUUAACAACAGCUUGACCAUCACCUGAUGAUCACCUGACAUUUCUGUUGGGGCGCGGGCCCAUCUCCUGCCCCGCUCAUGUGGGGCUCAGUCUGCCCAACCUUUCCCCAAGGGCCUGUCUUUACUUCAUUUGUGGUAAGCCCCAAGCAGAAUGGACUCUUGUUAUGAUCCCAGGAACUGCUCACGGCCACCUCUGUGGAUGAACACCUAGCGGCUGCUCUAAAUACAUGCUGUGAAAGUUGUCAGAAUCAAAAUGGAGUCACUAAUGUUAAGAAAGCCCUGACAAAGAGUUGGUGGGGAAGGCCACGAAGAGAGGACACUUAUGCUUGCAUGCCUGAUACCAGAAAGGACUACAAAAACCACAGCCCGGCACAGAGGCCAUCACACCCUUACACAAAAAAUAUUUCUGCAAGGACAACUGCCCAGCAAUUGCCUGUCCAACCUCAGACUGGAAUGACCUUUGUUAUUGAUGUUUGUAGCCAAGGAGAAUUAUCUCAAAACCACUGUGAUCCUGCUCGCUUUUCCUUUAAAGACCUUUGUCUUCCUUGACCUCCCUGAAUAGGCAUAUGGUUUACUAUGGCGUGUGUACUCUCCUUGUAAUGUUCUGUUCUCAAGCUAACAUCUAUUCUUCUAGAGAACCUCUCUCUUAGGCUGACAACGCUGUGGAUCUGGGCUCCCAGGAACUGGGGCUGACAUCAGAGGGGUGGAAAGAGAACAGCAGCUCUCCCUGAGGGGAUGCUUGCCAAGGAUAAGGAGACGAUGGUUCUCUAAGGAUUAUUUUAUAUUCAUCUAAAAGGGUAUUUUUGUUGUUACCCCUAGCCUUUUUUCCCUUUUAAUUUUCUGAUGAAUAAUUUAUAUAAAGAAAACCCAUUCUAAGUGUGCAAUUCUAUGAGUUUUGACAAAUGUCUUCACCCAUGCAAAUCCUGUUACAACGGAGAUAUAGAACAUUUCCAUUACUUAAAAACAGCCAGGUGCUGUAGCUCAUGCCUGUAAUCCCAGCACUUUGGGAGGUCAAGGCGAGAGGAUUACU
rnacentral:lncRNA from 1 species